UACGUAGGGUGCGAGCGUUAAUCGGAAUACUGGGCGUAAAGCGUGCGCAGGCGGUUUUGUAAGACAGAUGUGAAAUCCCCGGGCUUAACCUGGGAACUGCAUUUGUGACUGCAAGGCUAGAGUACGGCAGAGGGGGUAGAAUUCCACGUGUAGCAGUGAAAUGCGUAGAUAUGUGGAGGAAUACCGAUGGCGAAGGCAGCCCCCUGGGUCGAUACUGACGCUCAUGCACGAAAGCGUGGGGAGCAAACAGG
rnacentral:rRNA from 1 species